GUUUUUAUGAAAUAUUAUUGUUCGAAAGCCUGUAACUUUUUUCCGCGUAUAAUCACCAUAUACCAAACGAUGUAUGUGUGUGCGUAUACAUAUAUAUAUAUAGGUCUACUGUUUUCAACUGAGGUUAGAGGUUAUAGUCGCGCGCCACCGCGAUAAAUCUCGCGCCUUUUUUCUUGCACAGUAUAAUUCAAUGUAACUUUUUUUACGUUGCUUAGUAUUUUUUUUUUUUUUUUUUUCAAACUAAUAUUAAAGUCAAUAUGAAUUCUACUUUAAUUAAUGGGUAAGCAGCAUCUCAAAAUAACAUUGUUACGGUCUCAGAUGAUCAAGUUGAAAAGUGGAAAGAAGAAAAGAAAAAGUUAUUGGAAGAUUUCAUGACAAAAGAAAGAGAAACUGAAUUCCUUCGUCAACAACUAAAUCAAAUUCAAGCUCGAGUAGAAAAUGUUAAGAAGGAGCAAGCUUGUUUAUUGUAAGAAAAAGAGCGACAGAUGCAGAAAAAAAUGCAUUACUCAAAGAAAAAGCUACAUUAGAAUCAAGUAUUUAGUUAUUGAAUUUACAAGUAAGUUCUAUGACUGAAAAAUGUAAAUUGUUAGUCAGGAGCUAUUAAAUUUGAACAACCUAAAGCAAAUUAUUGUAAAAUUAACAGGGACAGAGGCAAUGCUUCAUUUAAUAUGUCCACAGUAAAGAAAGCAAAAACAAAAGAAACUGGUAUACAGGUUGAAGAAGUUUCUUCUAAUGAGCAUUUAAAAAUGAUAAUUAUCCUGUAUCCUUUGAAAUGUUUACCUCAAUUUGCAUUUGAGCCAUCUCAACCUGAAAAGUCAGUAGUAGAUGUGAAAGUUGAAGAAAAAAUCGGCAAAAGAAAUUUAGCUAUUAUUCAGGAUGAGGAGACAUUUCGUAUUUCCGGUAGAGCGAAGAACUCACUAAAAGAAGUUUGUUGUUUCAUUAAUUGAUUUUAAAUUAAAUUUUUUUAUAAAACCCACAGUUAUCGAAGCCAAAAGUAACAGUAGUCGACGACAAAAACUUGAGCACUGAUUUUUAUUUACCGGACUUGGCGAAGCUUGUCAAUAAAUCAAGCGAUGAAAUAAAUUCUUUCGAAGCCAUCCCAAUCAUCAAUAAAAUGGUAGCAACGUCUUUACAACUUCUUCUAAACACAACUCUAGUCCUUCAAAACAUCUCGCAAUUGCACUGGACACUCACAAGUCACUACACUAAUUUAUCACGAUAAAUUACUAAGGUCUUGCACUAAUAGAAAAACUCUACUGAACAAUAACGUCACAAUCACCCACCAAAAACUAUCAAUUGCAUCGAAACGGUUUUGUAAACAAAUGACGAUUGCGGUAUCGCAUGCGUACACGUAUGUACGUAUAUAAAUUCAAUUUCCGUUUUGUUUAAAAUAAAAAC